rnacentral:lncRNA from 1 species
UUUACCUAGAUAUUCCAGAUGAAGGAAGGCCUUAUUGGAUACAUUAAACUGUGAGGAACCAGUAAGUUGUGCCAGAAAUUUAUCCUCGUGUUUGAUGAAAAAACAAGCAAGCAAACAAACUCUGAAGGAAAUGAGAGGAAAGAAAGGAAGAAGUGAGGCAUAAACCAAGGGAAAAU